GCCUAGAUGGCUCGGUUGGUGGAGCAUGAGACUCCUGAUCUCGGGGUUGUGGGUUCAAGCCCCACAUUAGGUA
rfam:Felis catus isolate Cinnamon breed Abyssinian chromosome D3, whole genome shotgun sequence.